rnacentral:rRNA from 1 species
GAUGAACGCUGGCGGCGUGCUUAACACAUGCAAGUCGAACGGGAAACCUUUUAAUGAAGCUUCGGCAGAUUUAGCUGGUUUCUAGUGGCGGACGGGUGAGUAACGCGUGGGUAACCUGCCUUAUACCGGGGGAUAACAGUCAGAAAUGACUGCUAAUACCGCAUAAGCGCACAGGACCGCAUGGUCCGGUGUGAAAAACUCCGGUGGUAUAAGAUGGACCCGCGUUGGAUUAGCUUGUUGGUGGGGUAACGGCUCACCAAGGCGACGAUCCAUAGCCGGCCUGAGAGGGUGAACGGCCACAUUGGGACUGAGACACGGCCCAGACUCCUACGGGAGGCAGCAGUGGGGAAUAUUGCACAAUGGGGGAAACCCUGAUGCAGCGACGCCGCGUGAAGGAAGAAGUAUCUCGGUAUGUAAACUUCUAUCAGCAGGGAAGAUAGUGACGGUACCUGACUAAGAAGCCCCGGCUAACUACGUG